CCGUGCCAUUUUUUUUUUCUGGCCUCGACCCCUCUCUCGAUCUAUUUCCUCGGGUGUGAACGCCGCCGCCGCUGCCGCUGCAGAAUCCGCCGCCGCCGUCGCCGCCGCCGCCGCCGCCACUGCAGAAUCCGCCGCCGCCGCCGUCGUCGCCGCCGCUGCAGAAUCCUUCUGCGUCGCCUCCACCGUCUUGUUGCUCCCGCCUCACCCCUCUCCUCUCCCUCCAAACCCUAACCGUGCCCGCCUCCCUACCCCCCGCCGUAGUCUCCUUCGCCGUCGGGAGCUCAGCCCGGGAUGGCUGCCAGGGUUCCUCGCGGGCUUCCUCCUCGGCCUUCUCGCGCUCGCGGAGGCCGAGGCGGCCGCGCUGCUCUGGGUCGCCCGCCGCCUCUACCGCCGGCUGCUUUGGAGAUGGUGAAUGCGACAGUCAGGCGUUGAGGAGGGCGUGUACCAGAGCCCGGUCGUCGGAGGCGCGUGCAGGUUUGUGAUUGAGGGUACCCGCGAGCCGGCGACUAAAGGCAGAGGGCGCGCCAUGUGUUGUGGCUGAUCUGUGUGUGUGUGUCGUGUUCUGCUUGUGCGUGUGUGGUGUGGACAGCGUGGUGCGUGCUAUGUUCUGCUCUCCUCCAGCAUGUGUGCAACGAUCUGUUCCGGCCAACCGUGGAUGGUAUUUGUGUUUUUGGCCUGGUUAUAGACGAUGCAUCUAUGUUUUGGGAGUUUAUACAAACCAUAGAUGAUCUAACUUGUUGUGAUAUUUUUUAGGAGUGUUGUGAUUUCUAAAUAAUGCACUUUUGGGAGUUCCACAUCAUGAUACGUAUAUCAACUGUGAUCAGUCAUGUGAGGCUGCCCAACGGAAAGAUCUGAUAAGAAAGAAGAUAGAGCUUCAGGUGAACCGUGUCGUCCCUAGGAAUUUGUUGGCCUCGAGGAUUGUUCCAGUAAGUACUUCUGAUGACAACAUGAUGUUGGGCCUCAGGGACAUGGUAAGCUACUUACGUUACAAUUUUCAUCCAUGCAUACUUGUUUAUGUGAUUCUUGUACCACUACUGAUCCAUAUAUGAUUUCUUACACUCAUCCUUUAAUCCUGCUUAAAUUAUAGUACUAAGGGCGAUUGUACUUUAACAGGUCUCAAACUUGUGUAGGUAACCAACAGAAAUAUAUUGAAGCACAUUGCUAUCAUCAACUCAUCGUCCACUCGUGCCUGCCGGGUCACGCUCUGCAGCAACGGCGCACGCCGCCAGCACCAUAUAAUAGCUAUGGUAGGUGACUAUGGGAAAGAAGCAGGGGUGUCGGGAUCAUCAUUGAUGGGGUCGUCGGGGAGAAGAUGGGGGCUGAGAAGACAUGAACGGGCUAUAAUUGGCUGUGAGAAGUAGAACGAGAGAGAUAGCGAUGAUGUGGUGCUGCACCAUUGCUCUCCUACUACUAGCUGAAUUUUGGUAUUGUUGCUGCUAUCUGAAUUUCGCAUACACACAGCGAGGUGUUUGAUGUUGACCGACCUUGCGCCUGUUGCGAGGGGGAUUUCGUCGCUUGGAGAUCUCCUGGGAGAGGUGCUGCCUGCCGAGGUAACAAUCAUCCCUCUCCAUGUGCUCGACACUCUGUGCCCGACCCCCAACCUCCCUGGAUCCCGGCGCACCCCUCCCACACACUCCCGACCUCCUCCCGGCGCACAUGCCACCGCCCCUGCUCCUCCCUCCUCCAGGUUCAUAUGAAGCAACAACACACCAGGUUCCUGUUUACAAGCCGGAACCUGGAGAAUCCGGAGAAGGAGAGGGAAGCGGGAGGCGGUGGCGCACAAGGUGCGAAGAUGCCCAAGGCCGGCAGGCCGCGCACGAGGGGGAAUCCGGAUCCGGAGACGCAAAGGGAAGCCAAGAAGAGAAGCCUGGCAGCAGAGGAGGCCUCUCCCGGCGCACUCCAUGAUCGGGCUUCAGCCAUGUUUGCAGCCUUUGAGCGCGGCGAUGCACCUCAAUCCGAAGCAAAACCAGAUCGUGUCUACGAUGUGACUGAGUCCGUGACGGAGGAAUCCACUUGUCCACCCAUUCCUCUGCUCCACGAACCCUACAUCCCUGACGAGCUAGCUUCCCAUCCGGGCGCGCACCACGCCUUCUAGCUUGCCCCAGCCAAAUACAAUGCAUCGUCGUUCUGGAUCGAGUGUGGAAGAAGAGGUGGUGCCAAGGAGAAGAGUGAUGUGCCAAUGACGCAGCUCCGUGCGUUGUGGCCAUGGAGGGGAGGCCCGGGAGCAGGAUGAUGCUGGCAGGUAGAUGAAGGAGGCAGGUGGUGGAGGACGAGCUCUUCGCCGGAACCGCAUGUACGACUGUGUGGAAGCCGCAAUCAGUGUCAAAGUCAGAAAGCAUGGGUUUUGGCCUGGUUGCCGAGGUUUAUUCACUGCCAGCACAGCUAGUUUCGAAGACAUGGAGAUCCCGUUGCUUGCUUUUGAAGGAGAUAGGUUGCCAGUUGAUGGUGGUGGAAGGCUUGAGCUUUCACGCCGUGUGGUCUGCGUCGAGCUUCGGCAGCCCGAAGGUAAGCUCUUGUUUUCGGCAAAGGCACUGCGUGGCGGUGAUGAGAAAGACGUGAGGAGAGUUCGUAAAACUUUCACUCCAAAGAAGGUUGGUAAGACCAAGGAGAAUAUCAAGAUUGGUUCCUGUGAGAUGGAGGUCACUGUCACAUGGUCCCUUCUUCCAAAUUGUAAGUAUGAUUAUGACAGUGCUUUGAGAAAGUAUUAUUAAGUUUGACUUCUGUGAGGUGAAGGUUUUCACUGUGAACCUUAAAAAAAAAGAUUCUGACUGUGAUGUGAUCUCUUCUGUAGGCAUCAAGUAGUAUGACUGACUAAUAAAAAGCCUUCAUAAUAUGAAGUGCAAACCGUGUAAAAUUUGCAAGGUCAUAACUAGAAUAUGAGUUAGUUCU